rnacentral:rRNA from 1 species
UAAGGGCCCAUAAAUUCAAGGUAUGUUAGCAAAUGCUGCUCUAUUGACCCCUAAUAGGCUUAAYUGUCUUUAGCGCGUGUCUCUACGAGUUCUUUAAAGCACUGCGCAUGCUGUUGGGUCCUGAAAGCAACGAACGUGACCGCAACGUCUUGUUGCCUCUCUAUAAUACCUUCUUAUUUUUAAUAAGAGUAUUUACCUGAGGCUAUUUUAAAACUAGACGGACCGCUGUUUCUUUCUUAAACCAGAGGAAGGUUGCGGCAAUAACAGGUCUGUGAUGCCCUUAGAUGUUCCGGGCUGCACACGUGCUACAAUGAUCAGUACAGUGAGCAUCUCAAUUUUAUAACACCGUAUUAAGCGCUUGGGUCGUAAUUGUUAGGCCUUUUAGGUUUUUUCAAUUGCGUUUCUCCAAUGCGCACGGUAAAGCCUGCUUCGAGAGUAAGUGGGUAAUCCAUUGGAAGUAAUGAUUUCCUUAUUUUUAUAAACAGCACACCAAUAUACGGCAUUCAUUCCCGAGACGGCUUAGUUCCGACUUUGUGCGAAUGUAAUGUAUUCUUAUCCGUAUGUGCGAUUGUCAAUUCAUGGUGGGGACAGACCAUUGUUAAUUGUUGGUCUCGGUCUUAA